GCAGCCUGAUCCAGCCAUACCGCGUGGGUGAAGAAGGCCUUCGGGUUGUAAAGCCCUUUUGUUGGGAAAGAAAAGCAGUCGAUUAAUACUCGGUUGUUCUGACGGUACCCAAAGAAUAAGCACCGGCUAACUUCGUGCCAGCAGCCGCGGUAAUACGAAGGGUGCAAGCGUUACUCGGAAUUACUGGGCGUAAAGCGUGCGUAGGUGGUUGUUUAAGUCUGUUGUGAAAGCCCUGGGCUCAACCUGGGAAUUGCAGUGGAUACUGGGCGACUAGAGUGUGGUAGAGGGUAGUGGAAUUCCCGGUGUAGCAGUGAAAUGCGUAGAGAUCGGGAGGAACAUCCAUGGCGAAGGCAGCUACCUGGACCAACACUGACACUGAGGCACGAAAGCGUGGGGAGCAAACAGGAUUAGAUACCCUGGUAGUCCACGCCCUAAACGAUGCGAACUGGAUGUUGGGUGCAAUUUGGCACGCAGUAUCGAAGCUAACGCGUUAAGUUCGCCGCCUGGGGAGUACGGUCGCAAGACUGAAACUCAAAGGAAUUGACGGGGGCCCGCACAAGCGGUGGAGUAUGUGGUUUAAUUCGAUGCAACGCGAAGAACCUUACCUGGUCUUGACAUGUCGAGAACUUUCCAGAGA
rnacentral:rRNA from 1 species